UGCUCAAAAUCCAGAGAAUGAUCUGAUUGGUUCAUUCAUAUGGAGGCAUGGGAAUAUUACAUUCUUAUGGACAAGAGAAUUCCUAUUUGAUUUAAAGCAAGAAAAGAGAAAAAAAUGUAUAUAUUAACUGGGGAAAGCUUUUAGAGGCCUGCCAAAGACCUAUACAGAGAUAUUACUCCAAAAACCUGCUCAGAGGUCAAGUUUGAUCAUACUUCAUAUGGCAUAAGCACCUUACAUUUUAUUCCUCAAGCACGUUUCUACACUUAGUAUCAAUGGUGAGCAGAAGAGGAGCAGGGAAUGAUGAAAGACCACACAUUCUCCAAAAGUCACUAAGCACUGUCUGCAGAUGGAACAUUCAUAUUUUCACAUAGUAAUCCAUGCAAGUUGCCAAUCUUCUCUAAACAACACUCUUCCUCAUCUAUAAAGUAAAUAUUAAUACCUACCUGAAGGUGGCAGAGAGAGUUAACUGAGAUAAUUUGCUUAAUGAGCCUGAAAUCUAGUCAACACUUACUAAAGCUCUCGGGUGAAAUCUAAGAUGGGUCCAAUGACUUUCUCAAGUUUCAGAUAAAAAGUUUCUGGAUACUUUUAGUCAUGAAGCCAAUCUUCUUACAGUAAUGAAGACAUCCUUUCUGGGAUAUCCCGUCCUUUCUGGAAUGUCUAGUCAAGGUGGAGUAAACAUAUUCCACUCUGUCUCUCUCCAUGAAGGAAGUUAAAACCCUGGAUGGAAUGUAUGUAGCAGUUCUCUGAGGAGCCUGUAAAGUAAGUAGCAGCAGGUAGAUUAAGGAAAGAAACCAGAACCUGAAGUACUACUGAACCACUUUUCCCCUCUGGCAUCUCCUGCCGUAGGACCGAGACAGCUGGAAAACAGAAACUAUACAUCAGGUACAGACAGAAUGAACUCCAAGAAAACCCACUUAAUUUUAGUCUAAAGAAGGAGAAAGGGGGCCUCGUGGGAUCAAAGGGAAUUUAUGUUUUCUACUCCUCUAUCUCCCAGGAAAUUCUAUGGCAGUGGUGGUGACAAUUGCAGUGGUGGCUGGUCAGGUAUCCAAAACUCCAAGAAAGGAGAGUCCUUAUGUAUGACCAGAGAAACUGAAAGAAGUUCCUGCUGCUUUUUCCCCCUCUCUAUCCUCUUGCUGCUCGGCAUUGGAGGCAGAAAGAGCUGGCCCCUUACUCUGGCCACUGGUAGCCUUCAGUUUGCUGAGGGCUUGUAUGUUUUUGCUCACUUGUUUUUCUACAAUAUUCUUCGGCUACAAUGACCACCACAUAAACUCUUGUUCACAUAUUUUAUGUCCAGGACAAAGCUCCUAUCCUUGAUCAAGCCUCUUCUUUCCGGAAAUGGCUUUACCUACCUCUGUUAUAAUCAUCUCGUCAUUAUCGCUUUUGCUCAUAGGCUGUCACCUUCAUUUGUGGAUUCAUUCCCACCCUUCAGUGGCUGUUUCAGUGCUUUCAACAAAUAUCUGAAGGAAUGACCAAGUCUGUUUUCCUAGAAAUAAAAUAUUCCAAGAAAUAUUUAAGGAUACAUUAAGAUUUCAAUAAAGCCUCAAAAGCACUUAAACAAAAAUGAAAUUAUUUGAAUAUUUUAUUAUAGAUAUGACUGCAAUACAAUUUAUUGCCCAAACUGGGAAAUGUUUGAGAGUGAAAGGGGGAAAAGGCACUAAAAUAAUGAAGACAUAGUAUUUGAUCUACAACAGGUAUUAACUGGAACACAUUACGGUCCUCAUUGUAAACUUAAUGGCAAAUACCACUUUGUCUCUUGCUAGUUUCUUCACAGUUUCUUCUUCACCUACAGACCUGGAUGUAUACAUACGUGCACAACCCCCUCUAGAAAUGCACAUGUUUUAACUUCAUGUCAUAUCCCAGACUAAGCCAACUAAGGAGAAUAAAGAUGUAGAAACUUUAAUAUUGCUUAUAAAAUUAUAUUUAUGCAGCUUCCACCUUUCUUUCUAACUUUGUCUCUUACCUACUCUCCAAAUACGAUUUCUCUCAAACAGAAGAGAUGAACAAUUCCCUGGCACUUUGCAGUAUACUGUAGCUUUUAAUUGAGAAAUGGAGCAUUGUGGUUGAACAUUCUUUUAGAAUCAUUCUCAUACGUUAAGAUCUAGGUUUUGCUAUUUACAAUCCAUGUAACUCCAGUUCUCUUAUACAAAGUUUCCUCAUCUAUAAAGUGAAAACCAAAGGUAAACUCUCCAAGGGAUAUUGUGAGAAUUUAAUAAAAUAAUUGGCAUAGAAAUGUGAGAUGUCCCAGGCAAAGUCGUGUGUGUAUUCACCCCAGUCAGUUCCCAUUUUGUAAAUGGCCAUCUACAUUACCAAUUUCCACAAAAUGGUAUGAGAGGGAAACUGUUACAUAUUUAACAUGAAGCCAGAAAUUGUAAGGGAGGUUUAAAUCUAAGAAACUUCCUUAGAGAUACUUCAUCGCCUCUAAAGCAACAUCCAAUUCUCAGGCCGAAAUAUGUAACUACUGCUUGUCCGUUACCAAAUUAAUAGACGCUUCUUUCUAGCUCAUUAGCACGUGUUGUUUAAACACCUUCUGCUCUGGAGGAGAAAUACUUCUAGAAUGAGGAAGAAAGAAGAAGAUGGUAAAGAGCUUAAUAGGUGGGUCUUAAACCGAACCCCACAAGAAAACCACUACCACCAUCACAACAACAAACCAGACACCAGCUUGCUGAACCCCUGAGUGAAACUAAAUUUCUUUUUCAAAUCCAGAAUAUUUAACCAGGAGGGUGCUCUGAUAAUCAAUUCUGAUCAAACAAAAAUUUAUGUCUUCUGAAAUUAUCAAACCAGAUUAAACUUGGAGGACCAUCUGUUAAGACCAAGCUAAUAUUUUAACAUCUUAUUUGCUAGAGAAAUCCAUUUUCUUGUGUGUGCAUUUGGUGUCACGAGUGGUGAAGGCCAUUGAGUUAGACAUUGUUAAGAGACCCACAAUAGCAUACUAGGUUUGGCUGAGUAUCCUCCUGGGCUAAUUACUAUGUCCUCUGAGGGAAGGAAUCUCCAAAUUACCAGGGAACCUGUAGCUCUUUACCUAUCCACUUAGGAUUCAACAGUUUCAACCCUGAAAUGAUCUUUGAUCAAUGCACAAAUCAAAAGACUAAGAGCUUUUACAGUAUAACAGACAUUAUUUUGACUAUAGGUGUUUCCAUCAGCUCCUGGCUGACUUUCUCGUUGCCCUACUUCCGCUGGAAAACUAAG